rnacentral:sRNA from 1 species
CCGUCCGCCCUUCGGAAUGGCUUCGAGGCCGGGUGGCCCUGGCGGCUACUCUGGCCUGGUGCGCCUUCCGCCCUCCGUGGACGGACAACGCAUAGCCGACAGCCGUCGCACCCCAGGGAGCAGUUCCAUG